GGUGUCGCCAUCUUUACACAUGCUCACUUCUGCUGGGAACCUGCACUCUCCAUCAACUCCUCCCUUCAACUCCUGCUGGAUCCAUUUCCAAAUCCCUAUCCACUGACUCUCAGAACCUCUCCUGAUUCAAGUCCUCUGUUCAUCUCCUGGACCUGCCUGACUGCCUUCUUCUCUGCAUGUGCCUGGGACAAGCACCAUCUCUGACAGCACCAUCACCUCGCUGCCUGUAGUCUGGGACAGACCUGUAAGGAAGAGGCUCUGGAGCAGCCGACUAAAGCUAACGGAAUGGUUCCUGUGCAUGGAGAGAGCUGCUGUUCCACCACCAUGUGAUAGAAAAUAAAUCUCUUUACAGAUGAGUAGACA
rnacentral:lncRNA from 13 species